CGGUAUUUAAAUCAUAAAUGAAAUAAAAUAAAAUCAUAAAUGAAAUGAAAUAAAAUCAUAAAUGAAAUGAAAUAAAAUCAUAAAUGAAAUGAAAUAAAAUCAUAAAUGAAAUAAAAUAUGACAUGAAAUAUGGAAAAUCGUUGAAAACACAGAUUCAACCCGGAGCCAUCUCAGCUCCUAAAUGCUCCCCUACUCCACUAAAUUCCUGUCCUCCUCCUGAUUUACAGUCGGCCAAUUUGGAAUGGUACUACCGAUCAUGAGCCAAGGGGUAAUUUCCGGAUAGUCGGAGCCCUCUGAAUUAUAAUGUGGCGAGGGUCAUAAUGUGGCAAGGGAACGUCAAGUGAACUCUCUGGCUGGAUCCCGCGUGUGUUUUGAGCAGGUGGAUAUCGUUUAAUUGACUAAGCGACAUUGUUGGUUGGUGUUUUGUUGAUAGGCUGGAAUUGUUAGUUGGUGUUUUGUUGAUUGGUUGAAAUUGUUAGUUGACGUUUUGUUGAUAUCAUUAAACGAAGCCGGUCUGAAAUAGCCACGGAACAACGCUGGUGAUCUGAAAGGGAUAGACCAAUUCACAAGUGCUGUGUCGCAGGUAGCAGCACUGGUAUUUGUCGAAUAGAAUAAUGACUCUGUUCCAGGUUAGCGAAAACCAUGUUAGCAGAGCUGUGAGACGUUCCUGGGGGCUUCUGGCCCCACAAAACUGCUUGCUCGUCUCAACGAUAGAGUACGAACCGCCACAGUUGCACGAAAUGUCCAAUCGAUUCAGCAGAUCCGUUAUCAGGUCAGACAGAGGUCGUUCUCGGGCCUCGUUAGCAGGCUCGAACUGGUCGUCGACCUUAGCCUGAAUUCCUUGGUGAGUCAAUGCUACACGUACUGGCUUGAACUCACUCUUGUCCCCGUUCUCGAAGGACUGAGGGGAAAUGCCGACAGUUCUUGGCCUGGGUCUGUAGGUACAGGCUCCAAUGACUCGACGUUGUUCUGCUUGUCGGGCUCGGUGAUUCGGGGCUGACCCUCAUUGUCUUGGUUGGCUCGCUCAUAUUCUGGAGCAUUGCUCUCGGGGGUUCACCGGACCACUUUCGCUCAGCAAGAGUACCUCGCUCGAGGGAAGAUCCACAUCAUUCGGGGCUUGAGACGUACUCGCAGUACUGCCUGGCAAUGGGAAUUGGAAUGACUUGAGGUAACGAUGGAGAUUCAAGACAGAAUCAUGCCUUCUGAAAUGUCGUCUUGAAGUGUCAGAAAGGUUUUCGGGAAAUCUGAGUGUCAACUUGGGCUGAAUGGUGGCCAGAGGGUGAGCUUCAGAUCGUCGCGUAAGUGGAGACCGUAGACCAAGUGACCAGGUCCAUUGAACGGGUCUAAUUGAGACACAGGACCACCAAGAACUCCAGUUACCGAACCGAGCACAAUUUGAGCUACUCCAGAGGCAAUUUCGGAGCGACUGCAAUCGUGAUCGUCUAUUCGACUCGGGAAACGAGUAUCGAAUGAUCGUAGGUACUUGGUACUUUUGGCAGAUGGGGCCGAACAUCAAUGUGGCGUCAUUGUGGGACUAUUUUGCCACAAAUUCGUCUUGUUGGCUCCGACAGCAUUUCAUUGUGGGUUAUUUCAUUUCUG
rnacentral:misc_RNA from 1 species